CUUCCAGUAGCACCUUAGAGACCGACUAAGUUUGUUAUUGGUAUGAGUAUUGAGUAUGAGUAUUGGUAUGGUAUGACUUAGUUGGUCUCUAAGGUGCUACUGGAAG